rnacentral:lncRNA from 1 species
CUGAACGUGGCAAAGGUGCAUUCUAAAAUGUCAAGAAUAAUUGUUGCUUCUUUCAGCUCAUUUUCUUUUUGUCCUUUUCAGAAUGUCUAGAGAUGUGGUAAGCAGAGUCUGUGGUCAUAGGUGGGACACUUGGUGACAUACAACCUGGGGGACUCUCUUAUAGAAAUGAUGCUCAUGACUUGAGAGCACUCCAAGGACCCAAGCCCAUUACUGCUCACCGUUUCUAAGCACAAUCUAUUGUUAAUCCUGCAACAUCAAUGGUGAAACAGAUGAUGCCUGUGAAAUUUGUCAAGAGGAAGGAAACUGACUUUGGUGAGCUGCUCCCUGUCACCUGUGGCCUAGGUUGGAUUGGAGACAGGGUGUCGCUGGGUAAGUAAAACCAGCUCCUGGCUUUGCUCGUGAGUACUUAAUAUAAUUUUAUUUUGUAUUAUUGAGACAUAAUUCUCUGCCAUAAAUAGAAUGUCAGCCAUGUUAACUUUUUCAGGUUUAUUUCAGUUGUGUGUUACAUUGUAAAUGCCUCUUUUCCUAAGUAUAACGAGGGGGGCAGGUAGAGGGUCCAACACUUGCCAGGAUGUGGUGUUAGCAUAUUGACAAGUGUCUGAGGACCUAGAAACACAGUGAUAUUUAGCAGCAAAUAGGGUUAGCCAGAGAUGUGAACAGUAGCUUGGUGGUUCUGAUCGAUCUGAAGUGGACAAUCUGUUCAAUGCAGAUGCUGAAUCGUUUUUUUUCCCUGGGUGGCAGGAGAUCCAUAGCCCUUCUCAAUGGAGUAGGGAGAUAUUUGCGCUGGUGAUUUAGAUAAUCACAUCCACUGUUCCGCUUCACCUUCCCAGGGACAGUACAUAAGAUAGUCACUUCCUUUGUAAAACAUAAAUUCUAAAUAUUAGAAAUUCUGAUCUGUGUGACUAAUCCAGGAAUAUUUGAAAAGAAAAUCCAUUGACCAUUACUAGUAAGGGUCCUGAUACAAGGCUUUUUAUCCUUAUUUAUAGCAGAAAUUCACAUUUCAAAGCUCAUGUUUUUUUAAAUAUGAUAGCUUUAUUGUUAUGUAAUUACAUACUAUACAAUUCACCAUUGAAAAUGCGUGAUUCAAUGGCCUUUAGUAAAUUUGAUGAGUUUAGACAAUUGUUGCCAUGAUCAAUUAUAGAGCAUUUUCAACAUCCUAAAAAGAAACCUCUACCCAUCAGCAGUUAUUCUAGUUCCCUCAUAUUGUUCCUACCCCUGAAGCCCCUGUCCCUGGCUCUGAGUCCCUGGCAUCACUAAUUUACUUUCUGUCUCUGUGGAUUUGCCUAGUCUGGACAUUUUAUAUAUGAUUGAUUCUUGAACAAUGUGGAGG